AUGAAUGUCGAGAUGGGUUGUAGCUGGCCUUUUGGGGCAUGUGCACACCCUGAUCUAACCUCUCUCACACCUGUGCACAACCUGUAGCUUGGGAUGAUUACAGAGCUGGAAACAGCAUUGAAAGCCCUUGCUAUGAAUUUUUACAUACGCAUAUAAAGUUAUAGAAUGUACAAAGUUAUAUAUAAGCGUGUAAAAGCGUGAAUAAAUA
rnacentral:misc_RNA from 1 species